CCUACGGGUGGCAGCAGUGAGGAAUAUUGGUCAAUGGCCGUAAGGCUGAACCAGCCAAGUAGCGUGAGGGAAGAAUGCCCUCUGGGUUGUAAACCUCUUUUAUGCGGGGAUAAAGGUGUCCACGUGUGGAUGUUUGCAGGUACCGCAUGAAUAAGGACCGGCUAAUUCCGUGCCAGAAGCCGCGGUAAUACGGAAGGUCCGGGCGUGAUCCGGAUUAUUUGGGUUUAAAGGGAGCGUAGGCCGGUCUUUAAGCGUGCCGUGAAAUUUUGUGGCUCAACCAUGAGAGGUCGGCGCGAACCUGAGACCUUGAGUUCGCGGAAGGCAGGCGGAAUUCGUGGUGUAGCGGUGCAAUGCUUAGAUACCACGAAGAACCCCGAUUGCGAAGGCAGCCUGCCGCAGCGUUACUGACGCUGAAGCUCGAAAGCGCGGGUAUCGAACAGGAUUAGAUACCCUUGUAGUC
rnacentral:rRNA from 1 species